ACUGUGAGGUAUGCUGGAGGUAUCAGAAGUGCGAAUGCUGACAUAAGUAACGAUAAAGCGGGUGAAAAGCCCGCUCGCCGGAAGACCAAGGGUUCCUGUCCAACGUUAAUCGGGGCAGGGUGAGUCGACCCCUAAGGCGAGGCCGAAAGGCGUAGUCGAUGGGAAACAGGUUAAUAUUCCUGUACUUGGUGUUACUGCGAAGGGGGGACGGAGAAGGCUAUGUUGGCCGGGCGACGGUUGUCCCGGUUUAAGCGUGUAGGCUGGUUUUCCAGGCAAAUCCGGAAAAUCAAGGCUGAGGCGUGAUGACGAGGCACUACGGUGCUGAAGCGACAAAUGCCCUGCUUCCAGGAAAAGCCUCUAAGCAUCAGGUAACAUCAAAUCGUACCCCAAACCGACACAGGUGGUCAGGUAGAGAAUACCAAGGCGCUUGAGAGAACUCGGGUGAAGGAACUAGGCAAAAUGGUGCCGUAACUUCGGGAGAAGGCACGCUGAUAUGUAGGUGAAGCGACUUGCUCGUGGAGCUGAAAUCAGUCGAAGAUACCAGCUGGCUGCAACUGUUUAUUAAAAACACAGCACUGUGCAAACACGAAAGUGGACGUAUACGGUGUGACGCCUGCCCGGUGCCGGAAGGUUAAUUGAUGGGGUUAGCGGUAACGCGAAGCUCUUGAUCGAAGCCCCGGUAAACGGCGGCCGUAACUAUAACGGUCCUAAGGUAGCGAAAUUCCUUGUCGGGUAAGUUCCGACCUGCACGAAUGGCGUAAUGAUGGCCAGGCUGUCUCCACCCGAGACUCAGUGAAAUUGAACUCGCUGUGAAGAUGCAGUGUACCCGCGGCAAGACGGAAAGACCCCGUGAACCUUUACUAUAGCUUGACACUGAACAUUGAGCCUUGAUGUGUAGGAUAGGUGGGAGGCUUUGAAGUGUGGACGCCAGUCUGCAUGGAGCCGACCUUGAAAUACCACCCUUUAAUGUUUGAUGUUCUAACGUGGGCCCCUUACCGGGGUUGCGGACAGUGUCUGGUGGGUAGUUUGACUGGGGCGGUCUCCUCCUAAAGAGUAACGGAGGAGCACGAAGGUUGGCUAAUCCUGGUCGGACAUCAGGAGGUUAGUGCAAUGGCAUAAGCCAGCUUGACUGCGAGCGUGACGGCGCGAGCAGGUGCGAAAGCAGGUCAUAGUGAUCCGGUGGUUCUGAAUGGAAGGGCCAUCGCUCAACGGAUAAAAGGUACUCCGGGGAUAACAGGCUGAUACCGCCCAAGAGUUCAUAUCGACGGCGGUGUUUGGCACCUCGAUGUCGGCUCAUCACAUCCUGGGGCUGAAGUAGGUCCCAAGGGUAUGGCUGUUCGCCAUUUAAAGUGGUACGCGAGCUGGGUUUAGAACGUCGUGAGACAGUUCGGUCCCUAUCUGCCGUGGGCGCUGGAGAACUGAGGGGGGCUGCUCCUAGUACGAGAGGACCGGAGUGGACGCAUCACUGGUGUUCGGGUUGUCAUGCCAAUGGCACUGCCCGGUAGCUAAAUGCGGAAGAGAUAAGUGCUGAAAGCAUCUAAGCACGAAACUUGCCCCGAGAUGAGUUCUCCCUGACUCCUUGAGAGUCCUGAAGGAACGUUGAAGACGACGACGUUGAUAGGCCGGGUGUGUAAGCGCAGCGAUGCGUUGAGCUAACCG
rnacentral:rRNA from 1 species